rnacentral:misc_RNA from 1 species
CCUACGGAAGGAUCAUUGUCGAACCUCUGCGUAGCAGAAUGACCCGCAAACAUAUUGCCACUCCUCAGGGGGUGGAGCAGGGCGCGAGCCCACCUAUCUACUCCUGAUUAAGAGGCCCCGAGAGCCCCGCCUACCGUCGUGCCUUGUGCGCAGGCCGGUGGGUGCUCUCGAUGGCUCCUCUCAAACAAACAACGAACCCCAAUGCGGAAAGCGCCAAGGAACUUGAACAGAGCAACGCUCUCCUCAUGUCCCGAUCCCGGGUGCUUCGGGAGAUGUCGUUUUCAUAAAUAUUAUAUAGAAACGACUCUCAAAAAUUGAUAUCUAGGCUCUUGCAUCGAUGAAGAACGUAGCAAAAUGCAAUACUUGGUGUGAAUUGAAAAAUCACGUGAAUCAUCGAGUCUUUGAACGCAAGUUGUGCCCGAAGCCAUUAGGUCGAGGGCAUGCCUGCUUGGGCUUCACCCACUCGUCACCCCUUCCCCCCCCCCCAAAGCCGUGCGUUGGGGGACACGAAAUGAGGGCAAACAUUGGCCUCCCGUGGACGCCUUGUGUCUGCGGUUGGUCAAAAAUCUUUCCCGCGGUGGCGUACACCACGACAAGCGGUGGUCUAACAAACCCCUCCCCCCAUAGAGGAGGAGAAGCCUAGAGUCGUGCACGUGACGUCACCUCGGGGCCCCCCUGAUAGAAUGGUCCGACAUUAUCGAUAGUGACCCCAGGUUAGGCA